UGGGGAAUAUUGGACAAUGGGCGAAAGCCUGAUCCAGCCAUGCCGCGUGAGUGAUGAAGGCUCUAGGGUUGUAAAGCUCUUUCGCCGAUGAAGAUAAUGACGGUAGUCGGAGAAGAAGCCCCGGCUAACUUCGUGCCAGCAGCCGCGGUAAUACGAAGGGGGCUAGCGUUGUUCGGAAUUACUGGGCGUAAAGCGCGCGUAGGCUGUGUCGCAAGUCAGAGGUGAAAUCCCGGAGCUUAACUUCGGAACUGCCUUUGAAACUGCGAUGCUGGAAUCUCAGAGGGGGUAGCGGAAUUCCAAAUGUAGGGGUGAAAUCCGUAGAUAUUUGGAGGAACACCGGUGGCGAAGGCGGCUACCUGGCUGAGUAUUGACGCUGAGGCGCGAAAGCGUGGGGAUCAAA
rnacentral:rRNA from 1 species